rnacentral:rRNA from 1 species
GACGAACGCUGGCGGCGUGCCUAAUACAUGCAAGUCGAGCGGACGGAUGGGAGCUUGCUCCCAGACCGUCAGCGGCGGACGGGUGAGUAACACGUGGGCAACCUGCCUGUAAGACUGGGAUAACUCCGGGAAACCGGGGCUAAUACCGGAUAACUCUUUCCCUCACAUGAGGGAAAGCUGAAAGAUGGCAUCUCGCUAUCACUUACAGAUGGGCCCGCGGCGCAUUAGCUAGUUGGUGAGGCAACGGCUCACCAAGGCGACGAUGCGUAGCCGACCUGAGAGGGUGAUCGGCCACACUGGAACUGAGACACGGCCCAGACUCCUACGGGAGGCAGCAGUAGGGAAUCUUCCGCAAUGGACGAAAGUCUGACGGAGCAACGCCGCGUGAGUGAUGAAGGUGUUCGGAUCGUAAAACUCUGUUGUCAGGGAAGAACAAGUACCGGAGUAACUGCCGGUACCUUGACGGUACCUGACCAGAAAGCCACGGCUAACUACGUG